rnacentral:ncRNA from 1 species
GUGUUGUAUGAAAGAAGAGGUUAGCACUCUCCUUGACAAGGAUGAAAGAGGUUCUCGGGCCUAACAGCUCACAUACGGUUAAGGCAUUGCCACCUACUUCAUGGCAUCUAACCACUGUUUUUU